AGGAUGGAUCAGUGGUGUUCAUGGUGACGUGUCCAGGAAGGUGGCGCCAUGGAUUCUCGCCUGCAGCUUCCUAGCUACUCUGCUCAUCUCCCAUGUCUUUGGGUUUCAUGAAUGCACGCACAUCGAUGAGCACACGGCCCUGGUGAGUGAGCAAAUGUUAUCCGUGGCCGCCCCCUGCCCAUGGCUGCAAUUGGGUGGCCAUUGUGAAAAUGAGCUAUCUUUGAAUGAAGUAAUGGUUGCGGUGGAGCCUUAUGGGUAAAUGCAGGAGGUAGGAUCCAGAAUGAUGACCUCAACAGACGCAUCCUGGUGAUAGCCCCUGUCACCUACCUCAUCCGCCUAUGCUUCAGUUUUCAGGUUACUCUAUCUUCUUUAUUACCUUUGCGUCUCUUCUUCUCUUUUACCUCGUCAAAUUUGAUUUGGAAUGAACUUGCAGGAAAUUUUUUAGAGGAUCUUCCGCUUGUGAGUGAAGGCAACUACGAACAAAGAAUUGAUCUAGCUUGAGAAAGGAAAGAAAGAUCCUCUUUCAAUAUAGGGAUGCAUUCAAGGAAUAGUGUAGUUUGUAUACUGUGUACUUCUCUAGGAUAUGCAGUAUUGCCCAUUCUUCAAAAGCUUUUUCGUGUAUGUCAAGCCUUAUCUCUAGGAUGCUGCUACUGGUGUUGGUUUCAGAAUCUUGGAUGGGCUGACCAAUCUUGCUGCUGCUGCAUGUACUGGAUGCUGUUGCCACACAUGCUGCUGUUGCUGCCUUGAUGCUCUUAAUGUUUUCCCCCAAAUGAUAAACCACUAUUCUAUUGAAGGAAGAAACUCCAUUUGGUGCCAAGGAUUAAAUCAUACAUAGAUUUAGUUGGUGGCAAUAAACUAACAGCAGGAGCAGCUUAACAUGUAACAGAAAGUGGUGGUCUAACUCAUCUCACUAGAAUAGCCAUUUACUUCAAAAUUGUAAAUCAAUCUUGUACGGUUUGAGGUCAGGCUGUGUUGUAUCAUAGUCCAUAGGUUUGCCUUUGACUUUUAACAUCCACCUGCUAAUUGCA